rnacentral:rRNA from 1 species
GGUGGAGCAUGUGGUUUAAUUCGAUGCAACGCGAAGAACCUUACCUACUCUUGACAUCCACAGAAUUCGGCAGAGAUACCUUAGUGCCUUCGGGAACUGUGAGACAGGUGCUGCAUGGCUGUCGUCAGCUCGUGUUGUGAAAUGUUGGGUUAAGUCCCGCAACGAGCGCAACCCUUAUCCUUUGUUGCCAGCGCGUAANGGNGGGAACUCAAAGGAGACUGCCGGUGAUAAACCGGAGGAAGGUGGGGAUGACGUCAAGUCAUCAUGGCCCUUACGAGUAGGGCUACACACGUGCUACAAUGGCGUAUACAAAGAGAAGCGAACUCGCGAGAGCCAGCGGACCUCAUAAAGUACGUCGUAGUCCGGAUCGGAGUCUGCAACUCGACUCCGNGAAGUNNNAAUCGC